CCAUUAAGGCGGCACGUGAAGGGGAUCCGAGUGCUCAUGCAUUGCGUGGGCUGUUCUUUGGUCUAACUAACCAAAGGAGGAGGGCUGGGAACGACCGCCUGCCGCCCGCCGCGGUAAUACCGCUCCUCAAGUGGUACCCGCGAUUAUUGGGCCUAAAGCGUUCGUAGCCGGAUAAGUAAGUCUUUGGUUAAAUCCUGCAACUCAACUGUGGGAAAUCUAGGGAUACUGCUUGUCUUGAGACCGAGAGAGGUUAGAGGUAUUCCUAGGGUAGGGGUGAAAUCCUGUA
rnacentral:rRNA from 1 species